AAUGAAUGUUGGCGGCGUGGAUUAGGCAUGCAAGUCGCGCGAACAAGGGGGCUUGCCCCUGAAGUGAGCGGCGAAAGGGAGAGUAAUGUAUGGAUUAUCUGCCCUCAGGAUCGGGAUAGCUACGGGAAACUGUAGGUAAUACCGAAUAACAUCUCCGGAUCAAAGGUGUGAUUCCGCCUGAGGAUGAGUCCAUAUCCUAUUAGCUUGUUGGUAAGGUAACGGCUUACCAAGGCAUUGAUGGGUACCGGGCGUGAGAGCGUGACCCGGCUCACUGGGACUGAGACACUGCCCAGACACCUACGGGUGGCUGCAGUCGAGAAUCUUCGGCAAUGGACGAAAGUCUGACCGAGCGACGCCGCGUGUAUGAAGAAGGUCUUCGGAUUGUAAAGUACUUUCGUUUGGGAGGAAAUGUACGGGGGUUCUCCCCUGUGCUUGACCUAUCUUAGGAAGAAGGACGGGCUAAGUUCGUGCCAGCCGCCGCGGUAAAAC
rnacentral:rRNA from 1 species